rnacentral:lncRNA from 1 species
CUGAUCUAUGUACGUGAACGAAUCUAAUAAAAUAUGUUAGUGAAAUUUUACUGUUUGUGGAUUUUUAAGCUGAGUCUUUAUAUACUAUUUGUUCGGCCAAAAGAAUUUGUUCGGGCUGGAGUUGUAUUGUCACCUCUUACAGCUGUUGUCUCGGAAAACGAUUCUAUGACACUUACAUGUACUUACAGUGGAGAUGAGAAGUGCUACAUACUUUACAUGGAGUGUAUCCAGAAAAUCUAAUAGUACAUUUACAGAUAUAGGUAUAAUAUCAGCAGAAUGUAAGUCUGUUAUAAUUUCUGUUGAUACCAGUAUGUAUAACUAUGCUUGUCCUAACAACAUUCAAAGUAGUUGGAAAAUCAAGAAAGUAACAAGACAGAAUGAUGGGGACAAGUACCGCUGUAAUGUUGCCACACCCUCUCCUGGAUCCAUCAACAGUAAUAACGUUGUAUUAUAUGUUCAAGACAAAGCAUCAAUUAACAUCAUUUUUCAUAGAAGGGCAUCGAGGGCAGACACAUGUGACUGUAGACGAGAAUGAUUGAGGUAUACAGUUUACAUGUGAAGUUGACAGUAACCCGUCUUCAACUGUCAAGAUUCUGUUUGAGGGCGAGAUAUUGAAGGAAAGAUCGAACACCAAACAUAUCUCACUGACUCACAGUAGUGUGGCAUGUCUUGAUGGUGGUGAAUAUACAUGUGAAGAUAACAAUCAGUAUGGACAAUUGUCUAAAAAAAGCAUCAAGCUUUUCGUCAAUUGUUCUCCUCGUCCACUCCAUCAAAUGAGACAGAAUAUUACAAGUGCCCUUCACGUUCCAGUCACAUUAAGCUUUACAGCCCUAGCUUACCCGCAGCCAGGCACUAAAGGCUUUGCUUGGUUUAAAGAAAAUGUUAUAGAUUGGGUGCCGGUACUCAGCAACUCGGAUUUGCACAUUUUUUCAUCAGCAUCACAGUCUAAUCUGACUAUUUUGAAUGUAUCAGAGGCAGACUAUGGACGCUAUAGACUAAAUGUCACAAACGACUUUGGCAGCUAUGUGCAGUAUUUAUUCUUAAAGAAGACGUACUAAAUGGAGGAUCAUCAGAAAACUGCGAAGGACACAGCGCAAAGGAAACUGAGGACACUUCAUUAAUAACUGGAAUUUCUCUUGGAAUAGUUGUUGCUGUCCUUGCAAUUUAUGCAGUGUCAAUCACAUUUCUGUAUAAAAGGAAAACCAAAAGUAAAGACAAACAACUAGUUGUCAAAGAGACUACGCAAAAAACGUAUGUAAACGUUGCAUAUAAACCAAAUGAGCAAGAAAAUCAAGACAACGAUGGAACAACUAAAGCUGAGGGCGAGGAAGCUCGACAGUAUACAGAUUUAGCUGGAUAUUCCCGGGAUGAUAGGACAACAUAUGAAGUCCUCCAGGAUCUUUAAAUAACGUAAAACACGUUUUGUAAAUGAAGAUUAUGCGCGAAAAAUUCAAAAAAGACAUUGUACUUGCUUGACAAAUAGUCUGCCAAUAUUCUCAAAUAUAUGAAACUCAGGCAUUUUAAUACAUCCGCAUUACAAUUAUAGAAAAAACUUGACACAUAGCAAACAUAAACAAUAUUGGAGUCGAACUGUUGGAGAUCUGAUCACUUGGAGAAUAGCAUCUGAUACCCUGGUGGCCAGUAGGACCACAAUGACCCUUUUGUAUGUUUUAUCUUUCUACAAUGAUAAGGCGCAGUUUGGGAAUACCAGGAAAGCGCAUUUAUGUACACAAUGAUUUUGUAGUUACU